AAAUGAAUAAGAAAUACAAUUUAAAUGUUUAUGUUGAAUAUUAGUGCUUGGGGAAAAGCAGCUUCCAACAAAGAAGAAAGAAGCAGCAAGGGUCAGGGGUGUGGAAGAUUCAGAGAGCGGAGUGGAAGCCCAGCUGUCAUGGCCAGGCCACAGUCCUGCAUCUGACAGGGCUGUGGACGAAAGCCGAGUCUGUCCUGGAGCAGCUGGGCCUGGGCAGGUCUGAGCCCGUGUGAGGAACAUUCCUGCAGAUGCACAGCAUGCAGAGGGCAGGCGGGGCUGACGCACACACUUCUCCCCAGUGAAUUCUGGAGGCUGGAGUCAACCUAUAGAAAGUCUUCCAUGAGGCCGAAAUUGGAGUGUGUGAUGGGGGUGGCUCCUGGGUCUCAUGGAGUUCCUCAGAGAGCUUCUGCCUGAGUUAUCUAUUGGUAUUCUGCAGCAGCUGCCUCACAGAGCCUGGAGAGCUCCAGCAAGGAUGGGCCGGAACUCCAGCUGCUGUGGAACCAGCUCUUGGAUUUCUUUAUCCAUAUGAAGACCUGCAAAGGGCCUG
rnacentral:lncRNA from 10 species